GCUGCAGGAUCUGUGUGUGAGAGACACGCUUUCUGAUGCAAUAUAUGCUGGAGUUACGUUGAAAACCGAGAGGUCGCAGAAUAGGAGAAGGCUUUGCUCUUGCUGGACGAAGGAGUGGCUGUUGCGGAGGGAUUCUCUCAUGUGCCGCAACUUUGGAAGAUCCACGAGAAUAACCCGGAACUUCUUGCGUAUAGAUGAUGCCACCUUCAGUGAGUUGCUGGGUCUGGUGACGCCUCACAUCCAGAAGCAGGAUACUAGGCUGCGGAGGGACAUACAUGCCGUGGAGAGGCUGGUCACAACCCUGCGAUUCUUGGCGACUGGCAGAUCCUUGCAAGACUUGAAGUUAGGGUCUGUCAUCUCACCUCAGGCUUUGGGGCUCAUCAUUCCGGAGACCUGCAAAACGAUCGACCCUGUACUCUACUCAGGCAGCAGUACUUCAAGUUACCCUCAUCUGAGGAGUGGCUAAGUAUUGCUGCGGAUUUUGAAGACCCUUUUUUAUUAUUGGCUCAUCUCUAAAAGCCUCAGUCUUCCUCCUGCUUCACAGUGCAAGAAUGGACUGAAUUAUGUAUUUGUUGCAGAUGAGGCUAUUGUAUUGCAUGAGCAUGUCCUCAAACCCUAUGCUCAAAGGGGUUUGAUGACUGAGAGGAGGAUCUUCAAUUAUCGCCUUUCCAGGACACGCCAUCCAGUGGAAAAUGCAUUUUCGCAUAAACUUCCAAGUGUACAAAAUAGACUGGGUUGUGGUGGCAUGUUGUGCCCUUCAUAACUUCCUCAGGCACAAAAACACGUCACACUGAACACCAUGUGCAGCACUUCCAGAACCUCCAGACAACAUUGUGGACAAUGAUAUGUUCACUUCUUUACGUCGAGCAGGGGUUACAGAAGUGUCCUCUGGAGAAGCCAAAAAGAUCAGGGAAGACUACCUGGCAUAUUUUAAUGGAGAGGGGGCAGUGCCAUGGCAGGAAAAAAAAGUAUUAAUUAAAGCCCUGCAAAAAAAAAAAAAAUUAGUGCACUAUCUCAAAAACCGGCUAAACUUCAAUAUUUUUUUUAUUUAUAUUCUUGUCCAAUAAAACAUUUAGUUUCUUUGAAUAA